rnacentral:rRNA from 1 species
AUGUCGCUCAACCGCCUCAAGGAAACACUCCUUCCCUGCUCCUCCUCCGCGCACAGCCAAUCUCAACCCCGAUCACCCUCGCCUCCUCGCCCACCGCGGAGGCCCCCCAAGGCCUCCCUCUCGCAGCAGCUCCUCCGCCUCGAGGCCUCCUACUCCCUACCCGCGCCGCCACCGUCCCCUCCCAACCCCCUGAACCAGAAGACAGCGGAGGAUGCGGCCGAACAACCGACUUCUUCGUCGGAGGAGGACGUGGCCCCCCGCCUCCGGCGCCGUCCGGCCCCGCCACCAGCGGCCUCCUUUGAGCCCCGCGGGCCCUAUGAGCCACUUGUCCUCUCGCCGCCCGGAGAGCACCCCGUCGUCCAGGUGCCCCCAUCAAUUAAUUGCAGGCUACUUGCGCAUCAGAGGGAUGGUGUGAGAUUCUUAUACAAUCUGUAUAGAAACAACCAUGGUGGCGUGCUUGGAGAUGAUAUGGGAUUGGGAAAGACUAUUCAAACAAUAGCAUUUUUAUCCUCUGUUAUUGGAAAAGAUAAUAAUCAGGGCGAGAAAUCAACAGACAAAGGAAAGAAGUCCAGUCCUGUACUCAUCCUCUGUCCCACUUCAGUAAUUCGGAAUUGGGAAAAUGAAUUUUCUGAGUGGGCAAAUUUUUCUGUUGCUGUCUAUCAUGGUCCAAAUCGUGACUUGGUUCUUGAAAAAAUUGAAGGUCAAGGACUAGAGGUGCUCAUUACCAGUUUUGAUACUUUUAGGACUCGUGACAAGGUUUUAUGUGACAUCUCAUGGGAACUAGUGGUGGUUGAUGAGGCACACCGUCUCAAGAAUGAAAAAUCGAAGUUAUAUACAGCCUGCUUGGGAAUUACUACACGAAAACGCUUUGGUCUCACAGGAACCAUAAUGCAGAACAAGAUAAUGGAAUUAUUUAAUGUGUUUGACUGGGUUGUACCUGGUUGUUUGGGGGAUCGAGAACACUUUAGAGAAUAUUAUGACGAGCCCUUAAAACAUGGCCAGAGAUUAAGCGCUCCUGAGAGAUUUGUUCAAGUUGCUGAUAAGCGCAAGAAGCACCUUGUCUCUGUUCUAAAGAAAUUCCUGUUGAGAAGAACAAAAGAGGAGACUAUUGGGCAUCUCAUGCUUGGGAAGGAAGAUAAUAUUGUUUUCUGCAGAAUGAGUGAUGUUCAAAAACGUGUUUAUAGAAGAAUGCUGCAACAGCCUGACAUACAAAUCCUUGUAAAUAAGGAUCUCCCCUGUAGCUGCGGAAGUCCUCUGACUCAGGUUGAGUGUUGCAAGAAAAUUGAACCACGUGGCAUUAUCUGGUCCUAUCUCCACAGAGAGAAUCUGGAUGGCUGUCCUCUAUGCCCCUUCUGCCUUGUUCUUCCUUGCCUUGUCAAGCUUCAGCAGAUUAGUAACCAUCUGGAAUUGAUAAAGCCCAAUCCAAGGGAUGAGAUUGAGAAGCAGAAGAAAGACGCUGAGCUUGCGGCUGCUGUCUUUGAUACAGAUAUUGAAUUAGUUGGCGGUAGUGCUAAAAGUGAGAAUUUCAUGGGUCUCAGUGACUCAGAACACUGUGGAAAGAUGCGUGCACUGGAAAGACUUCUGUCUUUGUGGACCCUACAGGGUGACAAGAUUCUUCUUUUCAGCUAUUCUGUCAGAAUGCUCGACAUACUAGAGAAGUUUCUUAUAAGGAAGGGUUACUGCUUUUCUCGCUUGGACGGGUCGACACCCAUGAAUGCACGCCAAUCACUAGUUGAUGAAUUCAACAAAAGCCCUAGCAAACAGGUUUUUCUUAUAUCUACCCGGGCAGGCAAUUUAGGCGUUAACCUUGUCAGUGCUAACCGUGUGGUGAUUUUUGAUCCAAGUUGGAAUCCUGCACAAGAUUUGCAAGCACAGGACAGAUCGUUCCGAUUUGGACAGAAACGGCAUGUCACAGUAUUUCGCCUACUUGGAGCUGGAUCCCUAGAAGAACUCAUUUAUUCUCGACAAAUAUAUAAACAACAGCUUUCCAACAUUGCAGUCUCAGGGAAAAUAGAAAAGCGAUACUUUGAUGGCGUGCAGGAUGACAAGAAAUUUCAGGGUGAGCUCUUUGGGAUCUGUAAUCUGUUCCGUGACUUGUCUGAUAAGCUUUUUACUAGUGAGAUUAUUGAGAUGCAUGGAGAGGAUGAGAAAGCUAAAACAUCUGAAGAAACAGGGAUAAGAGAAAUAGUUGACACUGAUUUAUUUGGUACACAAGGGCAAAUGAAAUCAUCCACGGCAGCAAUAGGUGAUGAAAAUCAGGCAUUGGCUGAUUAUGGAGUUGUGUAUGCUCACCGGAACGAGGACGUUGUGAACACGAGGACACACGAUGACAACAACAACGAAAGAGACGACGGCGCGACAGAAGAAUGUGUCGAGCGCAUCUCAGAGGACCUGCAUGGUAAGAAGCAAAUAAAGCCCUCGGCGGACAGGGCGGAACUUCGCUCAGUGGAGGAACAGAAACGGAAGGAGUUCAGCCGUAUCGCGGCCUGUGUGGGUAUGAACGACCUUGAGUUCAGCAAGUGGCUGCUGUCGGUCUCUCCUCUGCAGCGGCAGCGGGUACUGGACGAUCACAGGAAGAAAAGAGUAUCACUAAAACGUAAAUGA